rnacentral:rRNA from 1 species
UACGUAGGGACCAAGCGUUGUUCGGAUUUACUGGGCGUAAAGGGCGCGUAGGCGGCAAUUCAAGUCAUCUGUGAAAUCUCCGGGCUUAACUCGGAACGGUCAGAUGAUACUGCUUUGCUAGAGUGCGGAAGGGGCAAUCGGAAUUCUCGGUGUAGCGGUGAAAUGCGUAGAUAUCGAGAGGAACACCUGCGGCGAAGGCGGCCUUCUGGACAGUGACUGACGCUGAGACGCGAAAGCGUGGGGAGCAAACAGG